rnacentral:rRNA from 1 species
ACGAACGCUGGCGGUGCGCCUAAUGCAUGCAAGUCGAGCGGUCCUUCCGGGCUUGCUCGGAAGGAUAGUGGCGAACGGCUGAGUAACACGUAAGCGACCUGUCCCGAAGAGAGGGAUAAGCCCGAGAAAUCGGGUCUAAUACCCCGUACGCUCCGGCGGCUGCGGCCACCGGAGGAAAGGUUCUCGAGCAAUCGGGCGCCGCUUCGGGAGGGGCUUGUGGCCUAUCAGGUAGUUGGUGAGGUAACGGCCCACCAAGCCGAAGACGGGUAACCGGUGUGAGAGCACGAACGGUCAGAGGGGGACUGAGACACGGCCCCCACUCCUACGGGAGGCAGCAGCAGGGAAUCUUGCGCAAUGGGCCAAUUGGCCUGACGCAGCGACACCGCGUGGGGGAAGAAGGCCUUCGGGUCGUAAACCCCUUUUCUCAGGGAAGAGUGAGGACGGUACCUGAGGAAUAAGCCUCGGCUAACUACGU